rnacentral:rRNA from 1 species
UACGUAGGUGGCAAGCGUUGUCCGGAAUUACUGGGUGUAAAGGGCGUGUAGGCGGGAAAGCAAGUCAGAUGUGAAAUCCCAUGGCUUAACUGUGGAGCUGCAUCUGAAACUGUUUUUCUUGAGUAUCGGAGAGGAAAGUGGAAUUCCAAGUGUAGCGGUGAAAUGCGUAGAGAUUUGGAGGAACACCAGUGGCGAAGGCGGCUUUCUGGACGAUAACUGACGAUGAGGCGCGAAAGCGUGGGGAGCAAACAGG